GUUGAUUUCACACUGCCGAGAAAAGCCUCUAGAUAGAAAAUAGGUGCCCGUACCGCAAACCGACACAGGUAGUCAAGAUGAGAAUUCUAAGGUGAGCGAGCGAACUCUCGUUAAGGAACUCGGCAAAAUGACCCCGUAACUUCGGGAGAAGGGGUGCUCUUUAGGGUUAACGCCCAGAAGAGCCGCAGUGAAUAGGCCCAAGCGACUGUUUAUCAAAAACACAGGUCUCUGCUAAACCGUAAGGUGAUGUAUAGGGGCUGACGCCUGCCCGGUGCUGGAAGGUUAAGAGGAGUGGUUAGCUUCUGCGAAGCUACGAAUCGAAGCCCCAGUAAACGGCGGCCGUAACUAUAACGGUCCUAAGGUAGCGAAAUUCCUUGUCGGGUAAGUUCCGACCCGCACGAAAGGCGUAACGAUUUGGGCACUGUCUCAACGAGAGACUCGGUGAAAUCAUAGUACCUGUGAAGAUGCAGGUUACCCGCGACAGGACGGAAAG
rnacentral:rRNA from 1 species